rnacentral:lncRNA from 1 species
UAAAUAAAAUAGCAUGCAAUAAUAUCAUACAGUAACUACCAUAAAUAACUAGCAUAAGGGAGACACAAUCCAAAACACAAAUCAUCUAUGGAUAACAUUGCCAAGCCUCACCCAACCCCGAAAAAGGAGAACGAAAAACUCUAGGGGCCCCUACCCUACAGCCCUGAUACUAGACCUCCAGAUUUUCCUAUCAAGGGCCAUGUCCUCAAAAACCCGCAUUCUAGCCAUGUCAUGCCUAAUCACCUCUCCGCAAUACCUCUUAGGCCUCCCU